rnacentral:rRNA from 1 species
CAUAUGCUUGUCUCAAAGAUUAAGCCAUGCAUGUCUAAGUACAUGCCGUAUAAAGGCGAAACCGCGAAUGGCUCAUUAAAUCAGUUAUGGUUCCUYGGGUCGUACAUUACUACUUGGAUAACUGUGGCAAUUCUAGAGCUAAUACAUGCAGCAGAGCUCCGACCCUCGGGGACGAGCGCUUUUAUUAGACCAAAACCGAUCGGACCUCGUGUCCGUAACUUGUGGUGACUCUGUAUAACUUUGGGCUGAUCGCACGGGCUCGUCCCGGCGACGUACCUUUCAAGUGUCUGCCUUAUCAACUUUCGAUGGUAGGUUACACGCCUACCAUGGUCGUAACGGGUAACGGGGAAUCAGGGUUCGAUUCCGGAGAGGGAGCCUGAGAAACGGCUACCACAUCCAAGGAAGGCAGCAGGCGCGCAAAUUACCCACUCCCGGCUCGGGGAGGUAGUGACGAAAAAUAACAAUACGGGACUCUUUUGAGACCCCGUAAUUGGAAUGAGUACACUCUAAAUCCUUUAACGAUUAUCCAUUAGAGGGCCAGUCUGAUGCCAGCCGCCGCGGUAAUUUCAGCUCUAAUAGCGUAUAUUAAAGUUGUUGCGGUUAAAAAGCUCGUAGUUGGAUCUCAGUUCCAGACGGGUGGACCGCCUACCGGCGGUUACUGCCUGUUCUGAACAGCCAGCCGGUUUCUCUUGAUGAUCUUCACCGGUUGUCUUGGGUGACCGGCAAGUUUACUUUGAAAAAAUUAGAGUGYUCAAGGCAGGMGUGACGCCUGGAUAAUGGYGCAUGGAAUAAUGGAAUAGGACCUCGGUUCUAUUUUGUUGGUUUUCGGAACACGAGGUAAUGAUUAAGAGGGACAGACGGGGGCAUUCGUAUU